rnacentral:rRNA from 1 species
GGUUGAUCACUGCACCAGUAAUCAUAUGCUUGUCUCAAAGAUUAAGCCAUGCAUGUCUAAGUACAUGCCGAAAUAAGGCGAAACCGCGAAUGGCUCAUUAAAUCAGUUAUGGUUCCAUAUAGAUCGUUCAUUCCAUCUUGGAUAACUGUGGCAAUUCUAGAGCUAAUACAUGCAGUGAGCCUGGAGCCCUUUGGGUAACGGGUGCUUUUCAUUAGACAAAGAUCCCAGAAUCGAGUAUAUAACAGGCCCGUUAAAUAUGAAUGUAGGUGACUCUGGAUAACUUUGUGCUGAUCGCAUGGCCACGAGCCGGCGACGUUUCUUUCAAGUGAUAACUGCCUUCAUCAACUAUUACCAGAAAUGGUAGCGUUACUUGCUUACCAUGGUUGUUACGGGUAACGGAGAAUCAGGGUUCGAUUCCGGAGAGGGAGCCUGAGAAACGGCUACCACAUCCAAGGAAGGCAGCAGGCGCGCAAAUUACCCACUCCCGGCACGGGGAUAUCACGGUAGUGAGAAAAAUAACAAUACGGCGGGACUCUUUUGAGGCCCCGUAAUUGAAAUGAGUACACUCUAAAUCCUUUAACGAGGAUCAAUUGGAGGGCAAGUCUGGUGCCAGCAGCCGCGGUAAUUCCAGCUCCAAUAGCGUAUACUAAAGCUGCUGCGGUUAAAAAGCUCGUAGUUGGAUCUCAGUUCCAGACGAGUAGUGCAUCUACCCGAUGCGACGGCUCGGACUGAACAUCAUGCCGGUUCUUUCUUGGUGCACUUCAUUGUGUGCCUCGAGAUGGCCGGUGCUUUUACUUUGAAAAAAUUAGAGUGCUCAACGCAGGCGAGUCGCCUGAAUAAACUUGCAUGGAAUAAUAGAACAAGACCUCGUUUCUGUUCUGUUGGUUUUUGGAAUGGAAUACGAGGUAAUGAUUAAGAGGGACGGACGGGGGCAUUCGUAUUGCGGCGCUAGAGGUGAAAUUCUUGGACCGUCGCAAGACGAACUACUGCGAAAGCAUUUGCCAAGAAUGUUUUCAUUGAUCAAGAACGAAAGUCAGAGGUUCGAAGGCGAUCAGAUACCGCCCUAGUUCUGACCAUAAACGAUGCCAACCAGCGAUCCGCCUGAGUUACUCAAAUGACUCGGCGGGCAGCUUCCGGGAAACCAAAGUAUUUGGGUUCCGGGGGAAGUAUGGUUGCAAAGCUGAAACUUAAAGGAAUUGACGGAAGGGCACCACCAGGAGUGGAGCCUGCGGCUUAAUUUGACUCAACACGGGAAAACUUACCCGGCCCGGACACUGGGAGGAUUGACAGAUUGAGAGCUCUUUCUUGAUUCGGUGGAUGGUGGUGCAUGGCCGUUCUUAGUUGGUGGAGCGAUUUGUCUGGUUAAUUCCGAUAACGAACGAGACUCUAGCCUAUUAAAUAGGUGCGGGGUUCCCAGCACCUUACAACCUUCUUAGAGGGACAAGCGGCUCCUAGCCGCACGAAACAGAGCAAUAACAGGUCUGUGAUGCCCUUAGAUGUCCGGGGCCGCACGCGCGCUACACUGAAGGAAGCGACGUGUCUUUAUCCCUGUCUGAAAAGACUGGGUAACCCGUGGAACUUCUUUCGUGAUUGGGAUAGGGGCUUGCAAUUGUUCCCCUUGAACGAGGAAUUCCCAGUAAGCGCGAGUCAUAAGCUCGCGUUGAUUACGUCCCUGCCCUUUGUACACACCGCCCGUCUCUACUACCGAUUGAAUGAUUUAGUGAGGUCUUCGGACCGAUGUCCGGCGCGGCCUUUCGGUUGCGCCGGUCUGUUGGAAAGAUGACCAAACUUGAUCAUUUAGAGGAAGUAAAAGUCGUAACAAGGUUUCCGUAGGUGAACCUGCGGAAG